ensembl:miRNA mir-2208.2 ncRNA
AAGUGUACCCGGAUCUGAUAUCCUAUCACCAAAAAGAGGAUGCAGAUUUUGGUACACUUCA